rnacentral:lncRNA from 10 species
CAGGAUGCAACUCUAACCUCUACAGGCAGAUCAUAGAUUCCGUUGUCCAGCUGUAUAAUGAAAAUAGAGUUCUCAGAGAAGAAUACCGGAGACUCCCCCGGCUUGCCUGAAUCAAAUUUCCAGAGGUAACAACUAAUGUUGGAACUAUGAAAAGCUCUUCUCUACUUUUAACAAAGCUUAGUCAAAAACAGUUCCCUAGAUGAUGAGAAAAACUGAAAGAACAGAACAAUUGAAAGUCCAAAUCUGAAAGCUCCAUCUCUGAGAACCAAAUUUUACAGCCACUCCAGAUUUGUACUCCAAAUGGAUAGUUUGAUUGUAGAAAUCACAUCCCUUCAGCCUGCAAAUGUGAU